AUGGGCUCCCGCCGUCGUCCGACCACCACCCUAGUCCUGGUGCUGCUGCUACACCUCUACUACGCGCCGCGCUCGGCCUCCUCGCUCAGCUUCAGCCUCAACUUCUCCGACGCCGGCGCCGGCUCAUGGAUCGACUUGGACGGCGACGCAUCCAUCAGCCCGCCAAGGCUCGAGCUGACCAAGAACCUCCUGAGCAGCGUCGGUCGGGCGUCGUACGCGUACAAGGUGCCCCUGUGGAACGGCGACACCGGCGAGAUGGCUAGCUUCACCACCAACUUCUCCUUCCAGAUCACUCCGGUGAAGGAAAGCUCCGGCGAAGGGAUGGCCUUCUUCCUCGGCCACUUCCCGUCGGAGAUCCCGCCCCAGAGCGGCGGUGGCGGCCUCGGCCUCCUCCCGGCCUUCACCAAUGGGACGGGGACCACCCGGAUGGUGGCCGUCGAGUUCGACACUCUCGGCAACUCCUACUAUGGCGGCAUCAGCAAGAACCAUGUCGGCAUCGACGUCAACUCCAUGGUUUCCACGGAGUCCACCCCCAUCACGACCACGCAGAACCUCACGUCGUCCUAUGUCAUGAGGGCAACUGUCACGUACCACAACGUGUCCAAGAUGCUGGCCGUUGAUCUCCACAUCGACGAUGCCCUGUUCCAGGUCAAUGCGACCGUCGAUCUGAGCAAACAGCUACCGGAGGAGGUCGCCGUUGGCUUCUCGGCGGCCACCGGCAACGCCUCCGAGCUGCACCGGAUACUCUCAUGGUCAUUCAGUUCCACUCUACCUCCUCUUCCGACCAGGAACAACCACAAAAAGUUAGUAGUGAUCCUGUCAUCCGUACUAGUCCCAUUGCUUUCUUUGGUGGUAUGUGUGGCCGUGUUGCUAUGGCGGCGACACAAGAAAAUGAAGGCAAAUGAGGACAGGCAAGAACGGUACGCCGACAGAGCUGACCUCGAGAGAGGUGUGGCUGCCGGCGGCCCCAGGCGGUACACCUACCACGAGCUGGUUGCCGCAACGAGACACUUCGCGGAGGAGGAGAAGCUCGGGCGAGGCGGCUUCGGGAGCGUUUACCGGGGUCACCUCACGCUUACACCCGCAGCCGCCGACCGCCGUGCGGUGGCGGUAAAGAUGUUGUCGGCCGAGUCGUCGGCGCAGGGGAGAAAGGAGUUCGAGGCUGAGGUGAGGAUCAUCAGCAGAUUGAAGCAUCGUAACCUUGUGCAGCUGCUGGGUUGGUGCGACAGCCACAAGGGUCUCCUGCUCGUCUAUGAGCUCGUGGCGGAGGGCAGCCUAGACAGGCAUCUCUACAGCAAGGAAAAAUGUCUCACAUGGCCACAGAGGUACAAGAUCAUCCUUGGCUUGGGAUCCGCGUUGCACUACCUCCACAGAGAGUGGGAGCAGUGCGUCGUGCAUGGCGACAUCAAGCCUAGCAACAUUAUGCUCGACUCAUCGAUGAGCACCAAGCUCGGGGACUUCGGGUUGGCCCGGCUCGUCGACCACGACACGGGGUUGAUGCAGACCACCAAGGCCGUGCUCGGCACAGUCGGGUACAUCGAUCCUGAGUUCGUCAACACGCGUCGGCCAUGCACCGAGUCCGACGUGUACAGCUUCGGUGUCGUCCUCCUGGAGAUCGUCUCCGGCCGGCGUCCGGUGAUGGAGACCGCUGGGAAAUCCUUCACGUUGGUCAGGUGGGUGUGGAGCCUAUAUGGCAAGAACGCGAUCCUCGACGCGGCGGAUGAGCGGCUGAGGGGCGACGAGGCCAACGAGGGGUGGAUGGUCCGCGUGCUCAUCGUCGGGCUCUGGUGUGCACACCCGGAUCGGAGCGAGCGUCCGUCUAUUGCCCAGACCAUGCACGUCCUGCAGUCUGUCGAGGCGAGGCUGCCGGCGCUCCCGCAGCACAUGUACAGGACCGUGCCGGACCCCAUGUCGUCCUCCGGCCCGGAUGAGGCUUUCUCCAUUGACAGCUCCACCUCCAGCUCCGGUUGUGUUCGCUCUUCUUCGGUCAACACCGGCGCCACCAAACUUUCUUCCGACUUGUCCUCGACUGCGUUGCUACAGCAAUCCAAGGAUCUAACUAAUUGA
rnacentral:rRNA from 1 species